UGCCAGCAGCCGCGGUAAAACGUAGGGGGCGAGCGUUAUCCGGAAUUACUGGGCGUAAAGGGCGUCUAGGCGGCAAAGAAAGUCUCGCGUGAAAGCUCCUGGCUCAACUGGGAGAGGGCGCGGGAAACUUCUUAGCUAGAGACUCAGAGGGGGGUGCGGAAUUCCCGGUGGAGUGGUGAAAUGCGUUGAGAUCGGGAGGAACACCAGUAGCGAAGGCGGCCUUCUAGCUUGUUCCUGACGCUGAGGCGCGAAAGCAAGGGGAGCAAACAGGAUUAGAUA
rnacentral:rRNA from 1 species